rnacentral:rRNA from 1 species
AGGACGAACGCUGGCGGCGUGCUUAACACAUGCAAGUCGCACGAGAAAGGGGCUUCGGCUCUGAGUAAAGUGGCGCACGGGUGAGUAACACGUGACUAAUCUACCCUCGAGUGGGGAAUAACUGAGAGAAAUCUUAGCUAAUACCGCAUAACACUUACGAGUCAAAGCAGCAAUGCGCUUGGGGAGGAGGUCGCGGCCGAUUAGCUAGUUGGCGGGUAAUGGCCCACCAAGGCGAUGAUCGGUA